UUGACCUCAAAUCAGGUAGGAUUACCCGCUGAACUUAAGCAUAUCAAUAAGCGGAGGAAAAGAAACUAACAAGGAUUCCCCUAGUAACUGCGAGUGAAGCGGGAAAAGCUCAAAUUUAAAAUCUGGCGGUAGUUAGCCGUCCGAAUUGUAGCCUAGAGAAGUGUUGCCUGUGCUGAACCAUGUAUAAGUCUCCUGGGAUGGAGCGUCAGAGAGGGUGAGAAUCCCGUGUUUGACAUGGACUAGCAGUGCAUUGUGGUACGCUCUCAAAGAGUUGAGUUGUUUGGGAAUGCAGCUCUAAAUGGGUGGUAAAUUCCAUCUAAAGCUAAAUAUUGGCGAGAGACCGAUAGCGAACAAGUACCGUGAGGGAAAGAUGAAAAGAACUUUGGAAAGAGAGUUAAACAGUAUGUGAAAUUGUUGAAAGGGAAACGCUUGAAGUCAGUGGCAUUGGGUGGGGAUCAAUGCAGCUCUUUUGCUGGAUGUAAUUCCUAGUCGAUGGGCCAACAUGAGUUCUGACUGCUGGAGAAAGGCGAGGUGAAUGUGGCACUUUUAAGUGUGUUUAUAGCACCUGGUUGUAUGCAGUGGUUGGGACUGAGGAAAAGCAGCG
rnacentral:rRNA from 1 species